rnacentral:rRNA from 1 species
AUUGAACGCUGGCGGCAGGCCUAACACAUGCAAGUCGAACGGUAACAGGAAGCAGCUUGCUGCUUCGCUGACGAGUGGCGGACGGGUGAGUAAUGUCUGGGAAACUGCCUGAUGGAGGGGGAUAACUACUGGAAACGGUAGCUAAUACCGCAUAACGUCGCAAGACCAAAGAGGGGGACCUUAGGGCCUCUUGCCAUCGGAUGUGCCCAGAUGGGAUUAGCUAGUAGGUGGGGUAACGGCUCACCUAGGCGACGAUCCCUAGCUGGUCUGAGAGGAUGACCAGCAACACUGGAACGGAGACACGGUCCAGACUCCUACGGGAGGCAGCAGUGGGGAAUAUUGCACAAUGGGCGCAAGCAUGAUGCAGCCAUGCCGCGUGUAUGAAGAAGGCCUUCGGGUUGUAAAGUACUUUCAGCGGGGAGGAAGGGAGUAAAGUUAAUACCUUUGCUCAUUGACGUUACCCGCAGAAGAAGCACCGGCUAACUCCGUG